GAAGGAUCAUUGUCGAUACCUG
rnacentral:siRNA from 1 species